AUGCCUACAAGCUGGAUACAAACAGAUAAUAAACAUGGCUGUACUGAACACAUGAGAGGUGAUCCUUUACACAGUCCUUUUGUACAGCAUUUAUUUAGUUUAAAGCUCAACUCAUGGAUUUUAGGAAAUUUGGAUUUUUUCCAGGAAAGACUUGUUGGGGUACUGAUCUUUUCUUUUUUCUUUUUUUUUUUUUGCGGUACCAGGGAUCAAACUCACGACCUUGCUCUUGCCAGGCAGGCACUUUUGCCACUGAACUAUAUCCCCAGCUCCCUGGAUGCUGAUUUUUAA
rnacentral:lncRNA from 1 species